AGAUUUUUUACAAUAACUGUGAUCAUAAAACUGUAUUCGACUUGUUCCCCUGUACCCCUGUAACAACCGUAUUCUGCAAAAGGUUGGGAGCUGUUCUAGAACAACUAACGUUCACGGUUGCGCCCUUGCUCUGAUAACGAUAACAAUUGAUAAAAGGAAAUAGAAUAUUUACAACCAAAUGAUUUAGAAUGCAAGGAAUAUUCUUUGGUGUAAUUUUUGGGAUAUUGUUGAUUUGCUAUGAGACACUAACCCUCUUCAGGGCAGGGGUGGAACAAGAUUCCGUGGAAAAGUCCAACACAGAAACCGAAGAGGAAACUCGUCAAGUUUUACUGGAGGUUUAGAAUAAACCUAGUUCAUAAACUGUUCGAACAAAGCUCAAACUACCUUGAUGUAUUCAAGCUACGUCCCAAUGAGCUGGUUGUCGGAAUCAUUGAUGUGCUUUAUGUUUCUUAUCGAGUUACCACUGUCGAUAAUGGACAUAAGUAUAGAAUUGUUUAACUUCUUAAAGAGAAAUUAAAUAAAUAAAAAAAUUGUUAAAAUAUUAUUUGAAGAUUACAAAUAGUUUGUCUUUGAAAA